GCAAACUUGGUCAUUUAGAGGAAGUAAAAGUCGUAACAAGGUUUCCGUAGGUGAACCUGCGGAAGGAUCAUUAACAAAUGAACAAGCAAAAAGUAUGGCGGCGGCGAGGUAGUAAGGAAAGUGAAAGUGAGGGUAGUAGUAAUAUUCUCACGAUCAUCUUACGGCCAAGUCGUCGCGUACACCCUUGAUCGAGGUACGGACGGUGCUACUCGACGACGCAAGACGUCGGUGUCUCUGCACGCUCCCCCUCUCUGACACCUGUGUUGUGAGAGCUUGCUUUUUCCGAGGAAAAGGUGAGACAGUGAGUGUUUGUUGUUGGGGAGUGUGUGCUGGUGCGCAUGCGACGACAACAACAUCAACAUGACAAAACACGAUUUUUAUUGUUGUACUAUUAACAAAAAAACUUACACAACUGUUAACAACGGAUCACUCGGUUCUCGCAUCGAUGAAGAACGCAGC
rnacentral:misc_RNA from 1 species